CGGGGUGUAGCGUAGCCUGGUAGCGCGCCUGCUUUGGGAGCAGGAUGUCGGGAGUUCGAUCUCUCCACCCCGACCA
rnacentral:tRNA from 1 species